CUUGUGCCAGCAGCCGCGGUAAUACGAAGGGGGCUAGCGUUGUUCGGAUUUACUGGGCGUAAAGCGCACGUAGGCGGACUAUUAAGUCAGGGGUGAAAUCCCGGGGCUCAACCCCGGAACUGCCUUUGAUACUGGUAGUCUCGAGUCCGGAAGAGGUGAGUGGAAUUCCGAGUGUAGAGGUGAAAUUCGUAGAUAUUCGGAGGAACACCAGUGGCGAAGGCGGCUCACUGGUCCGGUACUGACGCUGAGGUGCGAAAGCGUGGGGAGCAAACAGGAUUAGAU
rnacentral:rRNA from 1 species